rnacentral:tRNA from 1 species
UUAUUUCUUGGUGUAUUGAUGCACGAAAAUUUUUGAUAUUUUUAGAUCAGGUGAGUUCUGUAAGAAAUAAA